UACGAAGGGGGCUAGCGUUGCUCGGAAUCACUGGGCGUAAAGCGCACGUAGGCGGCUUCUUAAGUCAGGGGUGAAAUCCUGGAGCUCAACUCCAGAACCUGCCUUUGAUACUGGCGAUCUUUGAGUCCGGGAGAGGUGAGUGGAACUGGCGAGUGUAGAGGUGAAAUUCGUAGAUAUUCGCAAGAACACCAGUGGCGAAGGCGGCUCACUGGCCCGGUACUGACCGCUGAGGUGCGAAAGCGUGGGGAGCAA
rnacentral:rRNA from 1 species